GAUCUCUUCUGCAGAUCCACUUUGCUGGAAUUUUGUGAGUGAGUCCAGGGUACGGACUACCAAAGCCAUUCUGUAGAAAAGCAUUUCUUUGGACAAAGAGCUGUGCAAAUCCAAUAUGAACUGUCCUAUGCUUGUACACCUGUCUGCAGCAACCUUAAUGGCAAGAACAAGAAGAAUCACAAGUUUUGCAGCGUGCCACUGGACAAGAAAAAAGAAGUUGUAUGAGCUGCCAUCUGCAUAGUGUGGUGCAGUGAUAGGGGCUGACCUGCUGGCAUUUUGGUAGCCCUCGCUGCUACUUUGACUGACAGCAUCUGUGGACAACAUUGACCAUAAUCAUUCAACGAAAGGGAAGACAAGCAUGGAAAGCUGAGCUUGGUCUCAACCCUCAAUUCCUCAUCUCCAACACACGUUAGAGAUGACAUGUCCAGCAUGUCUACCUAUGCCAUCUCACUGUUCACUUCUGCCCUGCUCACCAGCAAACCCAAAGCAUGGCUUAACCAAAGCACUGUUAGUGUCCUCUCUCCUGCAGGUUCUGGCUUGCUUUGGAUUUGGUCAAGGUGAUUUUAUGUGUGGACAAUUCUCUCCAUGGGGCUAGACAAGCAACAUUAUGUUCAUUUAAUUUUGGCCAUAACUCAGAUCUCUGGGCUGUUUUAUCUCUCUAAAAUGUUGAAACCCCGUAAAUCUUUUCUCUAGAAAUCUCAAAGUUGUAUUUUUCAGUCUUUCCAAGACUGGUUAUACUGUCUGUUUCACUUAU